rnacentral:rRNA from 1 species
GAUCCUGCCAGUAGUCAUAUGCUCGUCUCAAAGAUUAAGCCAUGCAUGUCUAAGUACAGGCCGAUUUAAGGCAAAACCGCGAAUGGCUCAUUAAAUCAGUUAUGGUUCAUUGGAUCUCGCCUCAUCCUACUUGGAUAACUGUGGUAAUUCUAGAGCUAAUACAUGCAGUUGGAGCUCCGACCGCAAGGGAAGAGCGCUUUUAUUAGAUCAAGACCAAUCGGACCUCGGUCCGUCAGCAAAUGGUGGUGAUUUCUGAACAACUUUGGCCGAGCGCACGGUCUCUUCGCACCGGCGCCGCAUCCUUCAAGUGUCUGACUUAUCAGCUAUGUUGUAGGUUAUGCGCCUACCACGGCGAUAACGGGUGACGGGGAAUCAGGGUUCGAUUCCGGAGAGGGAGCCUGAGAACGGCUACCACAUCUAAGGAAGGACAGCAGGCACGCAAAUUACCCACUCCCGGCACGGGGAGGUAGUGACGAAAAAUAACGAUGCGGGACUCAUCCGAGGCCUCGCAAUCGGAAUGAGCACACUUUAAAUCCUUUAGCGAGGAUCUAUUGGAGGGCAAGUCUGGUGCCAGCAGCCGCGGUAAUUCCAGCUCCAAUAGCGUAUAUUAAAGUUGCUGCGGUUAAAAAGCUCGUAGUUGGAUCUCAGUUGAGGAGCGGCGGUCCACCGUGCUUCGGUGUCUUUGACCGCCGGCAACGGCCCCCAUUAGCGGGGUCUCUCCCGACGUAAUGCCAGCCGGUUGCGGCCGGGGUGCCCUUGAUCGGGUGCUCCGGUAUGCAGAGCCCGGCGGGGUUAAAACGCGGGUGCGGGUCCCACCCUCGCUUCCGCCCUUGCGCGCCGCGCAGUGCACGCUCUAGGGCGUCGCCUGUGUCUCGGCUGCGCAGGGGAACCACGGACGGGGAACCAGUGCGCGACCCGCGUCCGUGCCCGUCUCCGGGUCUCUCCCGCCCGGCACGUUUACUUUGAAAAAAUUAGAGUGCUCAGAGCAGGCCGUCGUGUGCCUGAAUGCUAGUGCAUGGAAUAAUGGAAGAGGACCUCGGUCCUAUUCUGUUGGUCUUCGGGAGCCGAGGUAAUGAUUAAUAGGAACGGCCCGGGGGCAUUCGUAUUGCGACGCUAGAGGUGAAAUUCUUGGACCGUCGCAAGACGAACGACUGCGAAAGCAUUUGCCAAGAACGCUUUCAUUAAUCAAGAACGAAAGUUAGAGGUUCGAAGGCGAUCAGAUACCGCCCUAGUUCUGACCAUAAACGAUGCCAACUAGCGAUCCGCCGGCGUCUUUCCUAUGACUCGGCGGGCAGCUUCCGGGAAACCAAAGUCUUUGGGUUCCGGGGGAAGUAUGGUUGCAAAGCUGAAACUUAAAGGAAUUGACGGAAGGGCACCACCAGGAGUGGAGCCUGCGGCUUAAUUUGACUCAACACGGGGAACCUCACCAGGCCCGGACACCGGCAGGAUUGACAGAUUGAGAGCUCUUUCUCGAUUCGGUGGGUGGUGGUGCAUGGCCGUUCUUAGUUGGUGGAGUGAUUUGUCUGGUUAAUUCCGAUAACGAACGAGACUCAAA